GCCCAGCUGGCUCAGUUGGUAGAGCAUGUGAUUCUUGAUCUCAGGGUCCUGAGUUCAAGUCUGGGAUAGAGCG
rnacentral:tRNA from 1 species